rnacentral:rRNA from 1 species
UCCAGACUCCUACGGGAGGCAGCAGUGGGGAAUAUUGCACAAUGGGGGAAACCCUGAUGCAGCGACGCCGCGUGAGUGAAGAAGUAAUUCGUUAUGUAAAGCUCUAUCAGCAGGGAAGAAAAUGACGGUACCUGAGUAAGAAGCCCCGGCUAACUACGUGCCAGCAGCCGCGGUAAUACGUAGGGGGCAAGCGUUAUCCGGAUUUACUGGGUGUAAAGGGAGCGUAGACGGCAGUGCAAGUCAGAUGUGAAAACCACGGGCUCAACCUGUGGCCUGCAUUUGAAACUGUACUUCUUGAGUACUGGAGAGGCAGACGGAAUUCCUAGUGUAGCGGUGAAAUGCGUAGAUAUUAGGAGGAACACCAGUGGCGAAGGCGGUCUGCUGGACAGCAACUGACGCUGAGGCGCGAAAGCGUGGGGAGCAAACAGGAUUAGAUACCCCCGUAC